GAUGAACGCUGGCGGCGUGCCUAAUACAUGCAAGUCGAGCGGCAGCACGGUCUUCGGACUGGUGGCGAGCGGCGGACGGCUGAGUAACGCGUAGGAACAUGCCCUAAAGUGAGGAAUAACUGCCCGAAAGGGUGGCUAAUGCCGCAUGUGCUCUUUGGAGUAAAGCUUUAUGCGCUUUAGGAGUGGCCUGCGUCCGAUUAGCUAGUUGGUGAGGUAAAUGCUCACCAAGGCGACGAUCGGUAGCUGGUCUGAGAGGAUGAUCAGCCAGACUGGAACUGAGAACGGUCCAGACUCCUACGGGAGGCAGCAGUAGGGAAUUUUCCACAAUGGGCGAGAGCCUGAUGGAGCAACGCCGCGUGCAGGAUGAAUGCCUUCGGGUUGUAAACUGCUUUUAUGUGCGAAGAAUUUGACUGUAACACAUGAAUAAGGAUCGGCUAACUACGUGCCAGCAGCCGCGGUAA
rnacentral:rRNA from 1 species